rnacentral:rRNA from 1 species
ACCGGCUAACUCCGUGCCAGCAGCCGCGGUAAUACGGAGGGUGCGAGCGUUAAUCGGAAUUACUGGGCGUAAAGCGCAUGCAGGUGGUUUGUUAAGUCAGAUGUGAAAGCCCGGGGCUCAACCUCGGAAUUGCAUUUGAAACUGGCAGACUAGAGUACUGUAGAGGGGGGUAGAAUUUCAGGUGUAGCGGUGAAAUGCGUAGAGAUCUGAAGGAAUACCGGUGGCGAAGGCGGCCCCCUGGACAGAUACUGACACUCAGAUGCGAAAGCGUGGGGAGCAAACAGGAUUAGAUACCCUGGUAGUCCACGCCGUAAACGAUGUCUACUUGGAGGUUGUGGCCUUGAGCCGUGGCUUUUGGAGCUAACGCGUUAAGUAGACCGCCUGGGGAGUACGGUCGCAAGAUUAAAACUCAAAUGAAUUGACGGGGGCCCGCACAAGCGGUGGAGCAUGUGGUUUAAUUCGAUGCAACGCGAAGAACCUUACCUACUCUUGACAUCCAGAGAACUUUCCAGAGAUGGAUUGGUGCCUUCGGGAACUUUGAGACAGGUGCUGCAUGGCUGUCGUCAGCUCGUGUUGUGAAAUGUUGGGUUAAGUCCCGCAACGAGCGCAACCCUUAUCCUUGUUUGCCAGCGAGUAAUGUCGGGAACUCCAGGGAGACUGCCGGUGAUAAACCGGAGGAAGGUGGGGACGACGUCAAGUC